CCCGAGGAAAAGAAAUCAACCGAGAUUCCCCCAGUAGCGGCGAGCGAACGGGGAGGAGCCCAGAGCCUGAAUCAGUGUGUGUGUUAGUGGAAGCGUCUGGAAAGGCGCGCGAUACAGGGUGACAGCCCCGUACACAAAAAUGCACAUACUGUGAGCUCGAUGAGUAGGGCGGGACACGUGGUAUCCUGUCUGAAUAUGGGGGGACCAUCCUCCAAGGCUAAAUACUCCUGACUGACCGAUAGUGAACCAGUACCGUGAGGGAAAGGCGAAAAGAACCCCGGCGAGGGGAGUGAAAAAGAACCUGAAACCGUGUACGUACAAGCAGUGGGAGCCUCUUAAUGGGGUGACUGCGUACCUUUUGUAUAAUGGGUCAGCGACUUAUAUUCUGUAGCAAGGUUAACCGAAUAGGGGAGCCGAAGGGAAACCGAGUCUUAACUGGGCGUUAAGUUGCAGGGUAUAGACCCGAAACCCGGUGAUCUAGCCAUGGGCAGGUUGAAGGUUGGGUAACACUAACUGGAGGACCGAACCGACUAAUGUUGAAAAAUUAGCGGAUGACUUGUGGCUGGGGGUGAAAGGCCAAUCAAACCGGGAGAUAGCUGGUUCUCCCCGAAAGCUAUUUAGGUAGCGCCUCGUGAAUUCAUCUCCGGGGGUAGAGCACUGUUUCGGCAAGGGGGUCAUCCCGACUUACCAACCCGAUGCAAACUGCGAAUACCGGAGAAUGUUAUCACGGGAGACACACGGCGGGUGCUAACGUCCGUCGUGAAGAGGGAAACAACCCAGACCGCCAGCUAAGGUCCCAAAGUCAUGGUUAAGUGGGAAACGAUGUGGGAAGGCCCAGACAGCCAGGAUGUUGGCUUAGAAGCAGCCAUCAUUUAAAGAAAGCGUAAUAGCUCACUGGUCGAGUCGGCCUGCGCGGAAGAUGUAACGGGGCUAAACCAUGCACCGAAGCUGCGGCAGCGACACUAUGUGUUGUUGGGUAGGGGAGCGUUCUGUAAGCCUGUGAAGGUGUACUGUGAGGUAUGCUGGAGGUAUCAGAAGUGCGAAUGCUGACAUAAGUAACGAUAAAGCGGGUGAAAAGCCCGCUCGCCGGAAGACCAAGGGUUCCUGUCCAACGUUAAUCGGGGCAGGGUGAGUCGACCCCUAAGGCGAGGCCGAAAGGCGUAGUCGAUGGGAAACAGGUUAAUAUUCCUGUACUUGGUGUUACUGCGAAGGGGGGACGGAGAAGGCUAUGUUGGCCGGGCGACGGUUGUCCCGGUUUAAGCGUGUAGGCUGGUUUUCCAGGCAAAUCCGGAAAAUCAAGGCUGAGGCGUGAUGACGAGGCACUACGGUGCUGAAGCGACAAAUGCCCUGCUUCCAGGAAAAGCCUCUAAGCAUCAGGUAACAUCAAAUCGUACCCCAAACCGACACAGGUGGUCAGGUAGAGAAUACCAAGGCGCUUGAGAGAACUCGGGUGAAGGAACUAGGCAAAAUGGUGCCGUAACUUCGGGAGAAGGCACGCUGAUAUGUAGGUGAAGCGACUUGCUCGUGGAGCUGAAAUCAGUCGAAGAUACCAGCUGGCUGCAACUGUUUAUUAAAAACACAGCACUGUGCAAACACGAAAGUGGACGUAUACGGUGUGACGCCUGCCCGGUGCCGGAAGGUUAAUUGAUGGGGUUAGCGGUAACGCGAAGCUCUUGAUCGAAGCCCCGGUAAACGGCGGCCGUAACUAUAACGGUCCUAAGGUAGCGAAAUUCCUUGUCGGGUAAGUUCCGACCUGCACGAAUGGCGUAAUGAUGGCCAGGCUGUCUCCACCCGAGACUCAGUGAAAUUGAACUCGCUGUGAAGAUGCAGUGUACCCGCGGCAAGACGGAAAGACCCCGUGAACCUUUACUAUAGCUUGACACUGAACAUUGAGCCUUGAUGUGUAGGAUAGGUGGGAGGCUUUGAAGUGUGGACGCCAGUCUGCAUGGAGCCGACCUUGAAAUACCACCCUUUAAUGUUUGAUGUUCUAACGUGGGCCCCUUACCGGGGUUGCGGACAGUGUCUGGUGGGUAGUUUGACUGGGGCGGUCUCCUCCUAAAGAGUAACGGAGGAGCACGAAGGUUGGCUAAUCCUGGUCGGACAUCAGGAGGUUAGUGCAAUGGCAUAAGCCAGCUUGACUGCGAGCGUGACGGCGCGAGCAGGUGCGAAAGCAGGUCAUAGUGAUCCGGUGGUUCUGAAUGGAAGGGCCAUCGCUCAACGGAUAAAAGGUACUCCGGGGAUAACAGGCUGAUACCGCCCAAGAGUUCAUAUCGACGGCGGUGUUUGGCACCUCGAUGUCGGCUCAUCACAUCCUGGGGCUGAAGUAGGUCCCAAGGGUAUGGCUGUUCGCCAUUUAAAGUGGUACGCGAGCUGGGUUUAGAACGUCGUGAGACAGUUCGGUCCCUAUCUGCCGUGGGCGCUGGAGAACUGAGGGGGGCUGCUCCUAGUACGAGAGGACCGGAGUGGACGCAUCACUGGUGUUCGGGUUGUCAUGCCAAUGGCACUGCCCGGUAGCUAAAUGCGGAAGAGAUAAGUGCUGAAAGCAUCUAAGCACGAAACUUGCCCCGAGAUGAGUUCUCCCUGACUCCUUGAGAGUCCUGAAGGAACGUUGAAGACGACGACGUUGAUAGGCCGGGUGUGUAAGCGCAGCGAUGCGUUGAGCUAACCGGUACUAAUGAACCGUGAGGCUUAACCUU
rnacentral:rRNA from 1 species